rnacentral:rRNA from 1 species
UACGUAGGGUGCAAGCGUUACUCGGAAUUACUGGGCGUAAAGCGUGCGUAGGUGGUUCGUUAAGUCUGAUGUGAAAGCCCUGGGCUCAACCUGGGAAUGGCAUUGGAUACUGGCGACCUAGAGUGCGGUAGAGGGGUGUGGAAUUCCCGGUGUAGCAGUGAAAUGCGUAGAUAUCGGGAGGAACAUCUGUGGCGAAGGCGACACCCUGGACCAGCACUGACACUGAGGCACGAAAGCGUGGGGAGCAAACAGG